rnacentral:rRNA from 1 species
GGUUAACGCUGGCGGCGUGCCUAACACAUGCAAGUCGAACGGUUCUAAGCGCGAGCUUAGGAUAGUGGCGAACGGGUGAGUAAAAGGUAGGAAUCUACCCCUUGGACGGAGAUAGCUACUGGAAACGGUAGGUAAACUUCGAUAAGCCCGAGAGGGGAAAGUGGUGAGACAGCCGAGGGAUGAGCCUACUCUCCAUCAGGUAGUUGGUGAGAUAAAAGCUUACCAAGCCGAUGACGGAUAACCGGUGUGAGAGCAUGAACGGUCACAAGGGCACUGAGAGACGGGCCCUACUCCUACGGGAGGCAGCAGUGGGGAAUCUUGGACAAUGGGCGAAAAGCCUGAUCCAGCAAUGCCGCGUGUGUGAAGAAGGUCUUCGGAUUGUAAAAGCACUUUCGACGGGGACGGAUGAUGACGGUACCCGUAGAAGAAGCCCCGGCUAACUUCGUGCCAGCAGCCGCGGUAAAGAAGUAGUACA